AGCGAACGCUGGCGGCAGGCCUAACACAUGCAAGUCGAACGAAGCCUUCGGGCUUAGUGGCGGACGGGUGAGUAACACGUGGGAACGUACCUUUUGGUUCGGAACAACUCAGGGAAACUUGAGCUAAUACCGGAUGAGCCCUUAGGGGGAAAGAUUUAUCGCCGAAAGAGCGGCCCGCGUUAGAUUAGCUAGUUGGAGAGGUAAAGGCUCACCAAGGCUAUGAUCUAUAGCUGGUCUGAGAGGAUGAUCAGCCACACUGGGACUGAGAAACGGCCCGGACUCCUACUGGAGACAGCAGUGGGUAAUCUUGCGCAAUGGGCGAAAGCCUGACGCAGCCAUGCCGCGUGAAUGAUGAAGGUCUUAGGAUUGUAAAAUUCUUUUACCAGGGACGAUAAUGACGGUACCUGGAGAAAAAGCCCCGGCUAACUUCGUGCCAGCAGCCGCCGUAACAC
rnacentral:rRNA from 1 species